rnacentral:misc_RNA from 1 species
AGUGCGCACAAGAAGGAGUUAAAGAACAAGCAGAAGGAAGAAGCGAAAUGCCACAAGGAGGAUUGGAGCUUUUGGUUAAUUUACUGGCAAUUUCUGUUCCAAAUGGUGGUUACUGCAUACAAUAAAAAUAUAAAAAAUACUAAAAUAUUUCCUGUGAAUCAAAUCAAAAUUAAAUUAAAAUCAAAUGAAUAUUUUCAGACUUUUUUAAUUUAAUUUUUUUUAAAUGGGUUGUUGGAUAUGCCCUAAAUUGAAUUGGGUCAAUGGAUUCAUCCUCUUUUAGCAGGUUCUUGCUUUCUCACCUAUCCUCUCUCACUCCGACUCUCUCACUUUCUAUCUCAUUCGCGAAGGAGAAAAGCAGCACACUCUCAGUUGCUCUCAGUCGUGAAGGAGUGGUUUGGCCAGUGCGCG